rnacentral:lncRNA from 1 species
CUUUCUGCCCCACUGGUUUCAUGGUCAGAUGUUCCAGUAAGAUAGGGGCUUCCCAAAAGCAGUGACUCCAUCCUCCCUGACCGAAACCUGCUGCUACAUACCCCAGCCCCAGUCACCCACCCCCACCAAUGGACUGGUGCUCUCCCACCUGCAAGACCCCUAUAUAAGCUUCCAGCUCAGCCCAUGCAGUUGCUGGUCUCCAUUCUGUCAGUCAGCCCAGCAGGCUGCAGACUGCCGCCCCAAUAAAGCUUGCCUGAACGUCCAUGUGUGCCCCCCCUUCUUCAGUGACCCUUACAUUCUGGUGCCAAAACCCAGGAGGCAGCGCUAUUGGGACCUGUGGGCUCACCCCACUGGGGUCCAGAACUGCACUCCCGAUGGCCCCUUCCCGGGCCUGCAGUUGCCGAACUGGGGCACACACCUCUGGGGCUUUCAGUCCUUUGCCAUUGCUGAUGCUGCAUCCAACACCAGCCUGAUUCUCUCAACAGUGUGGGAGGCCAGUCCCCUCCUCCCUUCCCAUGAGGGAAUCUGGUCCGUCUCUGCCUGACCUGUUGGGCCUAGCCUCAGAAGAGUGACGUUGCCCUGGGAUGUUGGCCCCUUCGCCCAUCACAUCAAAGGAGCCCAGGGUAACUAUCCACAUGGCAGGACCUACCCGGCUUAAACUGACCAGGAUUACAGAACAUCCUUCCCCCCACUGCUGAAACCUCACAAUAGGCUGUCAUACAUGAGGCUAAAUUUGGCCAUCAUGACCAUCGUUGCCGCUCCUAAAGAACUGGCACUCUGGGAGUUCCAUGUCCACCAAAAAUGGCAAUGUCUCUGAAAGCAUGGCUGACUGGGGCGUCACAGAGGCUCCCGUGCUGUGCCAACUUCCCAGCCAGCCCCCACUCCCCAAAAAAACUUCGUCCCUGAUCAGCAGGAAGUAGAUACGAAAGAAGAUACCGCUGCCCCAAUUUCAUAACAAAAUAAAGGCUGGGAUGUUAGGUAUUUCAGACCCCCCACAGAGCAAGCCCCCUCCCCUGCCUUCCCCUUGCCCUACUCCGGCCACAGGGAACAGGGAACUUCCGCAUAACUAAGGCUUGACCUACCUUUGUUUGUGACUCCCUGCCUAGUUAAGGUCUUUCUGCCCCACUGGUUUCAUGGUCAGAUGUUCCAGUAAGAUAGGGGCUUCCCAAAAGCAGUGACUCCAUCCUCCCUGACCGAAACCUGCUGCUACAUACCCCAGCCCCAGUCACCCACCCCCACCAAUGGACUGGUGCUCUCCCACCUGCAAGACCCCUAUAUAAGCUUCCAGCUCAGCCCAUGCAGUUGCUGGUCUCCAUUCUGUGAGUCAGCCCAGCAGGCUGCAGACUGCCGCCCCAAUACAGCUUGCUUGAACGUCCGUGUGUGCCCCCCUUCUUUGGCAACCCUUUUACCUAAUGCUUACACAAAAAAGGUAACCUGAUGUUGACCAAUCAGUUAUUUUCCCAUUGUUGUCUCUCUGUCCCUAAUUUGCAAGAAAAGAUCUUUGAAGUGAG